rnacentral:ncRNA from 1 species
AUUUUCGGGGCAGGGUGAAAUUCCCUACCGGCAGUUAAAGUCUGCGAGCCUUAUUGGUUGAGCCUGUGAAACUCAGGCACCGACGGUUAAAGUCCGGAUGAGAGAAAAUG